rnacentral:rRNA from 1 species
AACGAACGCUGGCGGCAUGCCUAAUACAUGCAAGUCGAACGAGAUCUUCGGGUCUAGUGGCGCACGGGUGCGUAACGCGUGGGAAUCUGCCCUUGGGUUCGGAAUAACGUCGGGAAACUGACGCUAAUACCGGAUGAUGACGAAAGUCCAAAGAUUUAUCGCCCAGGGAUGAGCCCGCGUAGGAUUAGCUAGUUGGUGAGGUAAAGGCUCACCAAGGCUACGAUCCUUAGCUGGUCUGAGAGGAUGAUCAGCCACACUGGGACUGAGACACGGCCCAGACUCCUACGGGAGGCAGCAGUAGGGAAUAUUGGACAAUGGGGGCAACCCUGAUCCAGCAAUGCCGCGUGAGUGAUGAAGGCCUUAGGGUUGUAAAGCUCUUUUACCCGAGAUGAUAAUGACAGUAUCGGGAGAAUAAGCUCCGGCUAACUCCGUGCCAGCAGCCGCGGUAAUACGGAGGGAGCUAGCGUUGUUCGGAAUUACUGGGCGUAAAGCGCACGUAGGCGGCGAUUUAAGUCAGAGGUGAAAGCCCGGGGCUCAACCCCGGAACUGCCUUUGAGACUGGAUUGCUUGAAUCCUGGAGAGGUGAGUGGAAUUCCGAGUGUAGAGGUGAAAUUCGUAGAUAUUCGGAAGAACACCAGUGGCGAAGGCGGCUCACUGGACAGGUAUUGACGCUGAGGUGCGAAAGCGUGGGGAGCAAACAGG